GUGUCAGCCGCCGCGGUAAUACGUAGGUGGCAAGCGUUAUCCGGAAUUAUUGGGCGUAAAGCGCGCGUAGGCGGUUUUUUAAGUCUGAUGUGAAAGCCCACGGCUCAACCGUGGAGGGUCAUUGGAAACUGGCAAACUUGAGUGCAGAAGAGGAAAGUGGAAUGCCAGGUGUAGCGGUGAAAUGCGCAGGGAUAUGGAGGAACACCAGUGGCGAAGGCGACUUUCUGGUCUGUAACUGACGCUGAUGUGCGAAAGCGUGGGGAUCAAACAGGAUUAGAAACCCCCGUAGUCC
rnacentral:rRNA from 1 species